rnacentral:lncRNA from 1 species
UUUGUACAUUACUCGGCAACUGUUCUCCAUUAUAUGUCCAAACCCAGUAAUUUUUAAUGAAACCCCUUCUCUUCAAAUGACGUUCUACUUCCUCCGGGUCACUAAUUAUAGGUCUACAUUCACAUUUUAGACAAGGACAUCUUACUCCUCCUUCGCUUAGACAACAUUCUUGAGCGAAAGCCCAUGUGAUAAACCCUUUAACUCCUUCCUCAAAGUUCGGUUUAAGUCCACGUCUUCCUGGAUACGUUCUAUCGUACAUCCAACUACGAUAGUAAUGAAAAUAUUCCAUACUGCACAUUUACAAAAUCGUUACUAUUUAAUUUCAAA